rnacentral:rRNA from 1 species
AGAGUUUGAUUAUGGCUCAGGACGAACGCUGGCGGCGUGCUUAACACAUGCAAGUCGAACGAGAGCGUAGAGAAAGCUUGCUUUUUCUACAAUCUAGUGGCAAACGGGUGAGUAACGCGUAAACAACCUGCCCUACGGAUGGGGACAACAGCUGGAAACGGCUGCUAAUACCGAAUACGUUCCGAAAGUCGCAUGACUAUCGGAAGAAAGGAUGGCCUCUAUUUAUAAGCUAUCGCCGGAGGAGGGGUUUGCGUCUGAUUAGCUAGUUGGAGGGGUAACGGCCCACCAAGGCGACGAUCAGUAGCCGGUCUGAGAGGAUGAACGGCCACAUUGGAACUGAGACACGGUCCAG